AUGUGUUUAAAAAUAAUAAGUAGAAUAGGUAUGUAUCGUGAUAAGCACUCACAAGUUUCAUAUGAAAACAUGAUCAAUUAUAUUGGUCAAAUAAUUAAUAAUAAUACUAAUGCUGAAAUUAUAGCACUUUUUUCUAGAUGUUAUGAAACUGUUAGUAUACCAUUUUUAGUAAAUUAUGUACGAAAAUAUGGUACAUUUUCAAGGUCAUUUAUUGUUAGUUUAUAUGAUAAAUAUUUUAAAAAAAGAUUAUUCGAUUUUGUUCGAUAUGAAAAUAAUAUGGGCGUAAGAAAAAUACCAAAUAUUUUAACGCAUCCUUAUCAUUUGUCUUCAUAUAUAAAAUUAAUGGGUGAAUGUUCGGCUAAGAAAGAUAUGUAUAUUCAGCUGAAAAUGAAAGGUCACGUCCCGAGUAGUCUUAAUUUGAAUGAUUUGGGUUUAGUAGGUAGUAACAUGUUGAGCGGAAACAUGUUAAGUGGCGACGCGGUCGAACGUUUAAACUACUACCUACCAGAUGAACAAAAUAAUAAGAAAACGAAAGAAAUUAACAUAAAUUAUCAAAAAAAAAAAGAAUCGAGUGAUAAAUAUAUAAAAAGACCUAAAAUGUAUGAUGUUAUUUUAUCAGCCGAAUAUACAGGACUACCUAUUGAGCAUUUUAUUGAAAAAGAAGAAGAAAGCAACGAAAAUGAUGAAACAAAAUUCUUAAACUAUGAUCAUUCAAAAAAAAAAAAAAGGGAAUUAGAAAAUACAGGUAAUAAUCUAACUCAAAGGGAAUUACCAAGUGGAACCCACAAAUUAAGAAACAAUCAUAACACGAUAUCAAUCGAUAAAAAUCCGUUAAUAAAUAAAAAUAUGAACAUAAUUAAUAAAAAAGAACAAACUGAGUUUCAAGAAAAUAAAAAAAUAAAAAUUGAACAAAGUUAUGCUAUUGCAAAAAAUGAAAAUAUAAUACAAGAGGAUUUAAACAUAAUGAGUAAUAUACAUCCCAUUGAGCAGCAUGGACACAAGACAACACGUGACACGCAUAAAACCGAAGAAGAUAUGAAUAAAACCGAAGAAGAUGUGAAUAAAACCGAAGAAGGUGUGAAUAAAACCGAAGAUGUGAAUAAAACCGAAGAAGAUGUGAAUAACACCCAAAACGACAUGCAUAACAAUAAGAAUGUAAACUUUACCCUAGAAGACGAAUGUGAUAUUUACAUGUACAAACGAUUUAGAAAAUUAGAUAAAUCCACUCUUGCAUUACAAAAUAAACUAGUAAAAAGUGAUGAAACAAAACAAAGCGAACUAACAACAUGUUUAAAUAAACAUGAAAUAUAUGAAGAAAUAGAUAAAGAUGUAACUGAUGAAGCUUUAUGGGAAUUACCAUGGAAAGGUAAAAUAAAAAACAGCUUUUAUUUUAAAAGCCGCUUUUUU
rnacentral:lncRNA from 1 species